rnacentral:rRNA from 1 species
AGCUCCAAUAGCGUAUAUUUUAGUUGUUGCAGUUAAAAAGCUCGUAGCCGUAUUUCUGGUGGGAGAAUGCAGUCCGACUUUAUGUCGGUACUCGCAUCCUCCGGCCAUCCUUGGGUCUAGCCCGUUUGGCAUUACGUUGUCGAGCUGGGGAUGCCCAUCGUUUACUGUGAAAAAAUUAGAGUGUUCAAAGCAGACUUAUGUCGUUGAAUAUAUUAGCAUGGAAUAAUAAAAUAGGACAUCAGUGCUAUUUUGUUGGUUUGCGCACCGAUGUAAUGAUAAAUAGGAACAGUUGUGGGUAUUCGUAUUCAUUUGUAAGAGGUGAAAUUCUUAGAUUAAAGGAAGACGAACUACUGCGAAAGCAUUUAGCAGGGAUGUUUUCA